ensembl:lncRNA
UGUGUUCCAAAGGGCCAUGCAGUUUUUAUGAGCAUUGCUGGUGGAAACACAUAGCUAAUAGGGGGGUUGCCAGGACACUCCUCAUAUGUCUCUUCCUGUCUGUGCCCAGAACCAGGAAUUAAAACGUAUGUGAGCAGGCUGAGAUGUCAGUUUCAAGAAUAUUUACAGCUAACUCUCUAGCUGAAAUGCCUGGUGGAUGAAAAGCUGGACGUGAGUCUGCAGUGUGCAUUCACAGCCUGGAAAACCAACUGAAUCCUGGACUGCAUCAAAUGAGGGGUGGCCUGCAGGGUGAGUGAAGGGAUCAUCCCUCUUUACUCUGCCACUGUCUUUGACCCAUCUGAAUUACUGUGUCAAGUUCUGGGGACAAAAAAGAUGUGGAGCUGUUGGAACAAGUCCAAAGAAGGACCAAAUGGUCAUAGAGCUGAAGCACCUGUCAUAUGAAGAAAAGUUGAGGGAGCUGGGUUCAUUUACCUCAGAGAAGAGAAGGCUCAGGGAAGACCUCACUGCAGACUCCCAGUAUUUAAAGAGAGCUUAUAAGCAGGAAGGAGACCAGCAUUUCACAUGGGAAAAAAACUGGCCACUGAAACUGCAUGUUCAUUUCCAGUCUGAGUGAAACAAGGAGAAAAAAUGACCCUGAAAUAGAAAACUGAUGAAUUGUUUUGUCACUUUUGCAUAGAAAAAUGUUACUCUUACAAACAUGAAUGUGUUAGAAACUGGCAUUAUUCAAUUUGUCUUGAUGAAAGUGCAAUUAUCAUAAGAGAUUUUGAAAUCUCUUUUAUUUCAUAUGACUGUUCUGUCUUCAUGUGGGUUUCCUUUAUAUCAUGGAUGUCCAACCUUUUGGCUUGUCUGGGCUGCAUCAUGUGAAGAGUCCAACUGUCUUAGGCUGCAUUUGAAAUAUAUAGUUAAAAUAUGUCAGUAACAAAAUUUACUAUUAUCUUUUUCAUUUAAAUAUUUUUUAAAAGAGUAAGAAAAGCAUUAAUCAAGCACUAUUUGACUUUUUUUUUUGUGUGUGAAACUAAUGCAUCAGUGUGUAGUUUGAUGGAAGUAGGUGCCAUUCUUACUAAAUUCUCAAGGUGCGCAUCAGAUAUUUUUUUGUCUAAUUUUACUUUUCUUGUGCUUCAUCCUUGAAAACAGUUGUUCAUAAAUGUACAUGCAGCUAAAAAUCAAUGAUUUGAAUAAAGCAUGAUUGUGAAGUGUGGAAUAUUUUUUCUUCUGAUAAGAAAGGUCUUAUAAAAGUCUAGUAAAGAGAAAUGAUGACACUUUUCUUUCAUUUAACUGUCUGAAUGCAACUGUAUAUAUUCCAUUUAAAAAUUUGCACAUAAUAUAUUUAUGUUGAGUGAAAAUUGAAUCACAAAUAAUCCAAAAGAAUUGAUGAUGUUUCAGCAAUCUUGAACCUGUUCUCAAAUUCCUUAAUCAAAAAGGAAAGCAAGGU